GUUUCCUGGAAAAAUAACAGCUUUUUUGGAGAUAAAAUUUUUUGUAUUAUAUCAGCACAGAGGGCCCGAGAGGACAAAUACCGCAGGUCGGAAUUCAGCCUUGGCAACUCAGCAUCCGAUCUUGGUCUAUAUUGGCAUGUUGCCCAUGUUGCCUCAUCCGUUAUCGUCUAACUUGUCAAACGUGCUUUAAAAAGUUCAAAUCGUGAAUAGUUUACGUCUAAAACUAAGAUGUUUUCUCACGUUAUGACUAACCGAGAAGAAAUGGAUUCUUUCAAUGUAAACUCUCAAACAAAGCUUG